rnacentral:rRNA from 1 species
GCAUAUCAAUAAGCGGAGGAAAAGAAACUAACAAGGAUUCCCCUAGUAACGGCGAGUGAAGAGGGAAGAGCUCAAAUUUUAAAUCUGCCUUGUUUCAAGGUCGAGUUGUAAUUUGAAGAGGCGUUUUCUUGGGCUCGCGACCGGUAGAAGUUCUUUGGAACAGGACAUCAUAGAGGGUGACAAUCCCGUCUGCGACCGGUCGUGCGUUCAUCUACGAUACGCUUUCAAAGAGUCGAGUUGUUUGGGAUUGCAGCUCCAAAUGGGUGGUAAACAUCACCUAAGGCUAAAUAUUGGCGAGAGACCGAUAGCGAACAAGUACCGUGAGGGAAAGAUGAAAAGAACUUUGAAAAGAGAGUUAAACAGUACGUGAAAUUGUUGAAAGGGAAACGAUUGAAGUCAGUCGUGCUGGCGCGAAAUCAACCCUCUCGUCGAGAGGACACAUGGCGUGGCGAGCCUCAAAACCGUCACGAAGCGUGAACUCUUGGCGAAAAGGAGCACUUUCGUGUCCGCUGGUUAACAUCAAUUUCGAACGUCAUAAAAAGGCUGGAGGGAUGUGGCUCCUUCGGGAGUGUUAUAACCUUUAGCGGAAUGUGGUGGUCGGGAUUGAGGAUUGCAACAGAAUACCUUUAGGGCUGUUCCACCUGGCUUCUCUUUGGUAUCCUGGUGACGACAGCUUGCUGACAGUUGUUAGGAUUCGCCUUUGAACAGGCUAGAGUGUGAGCAAAUUCGUUAAGGAUGUUGACGUAAUGGCUUUAAACGAC